rnacentral:rRNA from 1 species
GCACAAGCGGUGGAGCAUGUGGUUUAAUUCGACGCAACGCGCAGAACCUUACCAGGCCUUGACAUCCCGUGCUAAACCCAGAGAUGGGUGGUCCCCGCAAGGGGCGCGGAGACAGGUGCUGCAUGGCUGUCGUCAGCUCGUGUCGUGAGAUGUUGGGUUAAGUCCCGCAACGAGCGCAACCCUCGCCUUUAGUUGCCAUCAUUAAGUUGGGCACUCUAAAGGGACCGCCGGCGACAAGCCGGAGGAAGGUGGGGAUGACGUCAAGUCCUCAUGGCCCUUACGGCCUGGGCUACACACGUGCUACAAUGGCGGUGACAGUGGGCAGCGACCACGCGAGUGGAUGCGAAUCCCAAAAAACCGUCCCAGUUCAGAUUGCACUCUGCAACUCGGGUGCAUGAAGGUGGAAUCGCUAGUAAUCGCGGAUCAGAACGCCGCGGUGAAUACGUUCCCGGGC